rnacentral:ncRNA from 1 species
ACAGCUCUCCAUAUUUCUUAGCUGUAUGCAGCUUUAAUAAGGAGGAAACGUGAACCCCAGGCUCGGGGUGCGGCAGUGUGGAGACCUGUCGUAAAAGCGGUGCGCUUCGGCGGCCGUGAGUCCGUUCGCGCGGAGGCGGGACGGACGGAGCCGGUAGUAUGGCA